rnacentral:rRNA from 1 species
UAAUGCGAAUUGCAGAAUUCAGUGAGUCAUCGAAAUUUUGAACGCAUAUUGCACUUCCGGGUUAUGCCUGGAAGUAUGUCUGUAUCAGUGUCCGUAAAUCAACCUUGCCUUUCUUCCUUCUGUGUAGUCAGUGGAGGAUGUGGCAGACGUGAAGUGUCU